rfam:Sorghum bicolor cultivar BTx623 chromosome 9, whole genome shotgun sequence.
GUACAUGUAUCCACCUCAAUCCACAUGUGUUGAAGUGGAUUGGAGUGAAACUUAAACUAAUUUCCACUUCAAUCCACCUCAACACAUGUGGAUUGAUGUGGAUACAUGU